rnacentral:rRNA from 1 species
CGGACGGGUGAGUAACGCGUGGGUAACCUGCCCUGUACAGGGGGAUAACAGUUGGAAACGGCUGCUAAAACCGCAUAACAUGGAGAUACCGCAUGAUAUUUCCAUCAAAUAGUUUAUAGGUACAGGAUGGGCCCGCGUCUGAUUAGCCAGUUGGCAGGGUAAUGGCCUACCAAAGCGACGAUCAGUAGCCGGCUUGAGAGAGUGACCGGCCACAUUGGGACUGAGACACGGCCCAAACUCCUACGGGAGGCAGCAG